GACGAACGCUGGCGGCGUGCCUAACACAUGCAAGUCGAACGGAGAAUCAGCAAUGAUUCUUAGUGGCGAACGGGUGAGUAACGCGUAGACAACCUGCCUUCUAGAUGGGGACAACGCUGCGAAAGUGGUGCUAAUACCGAAUGUUGUAUUAAGCCUGCAUGAGCUUGAUACUAAAGGUGGCCUCUAUUUAUAAGCUAUCACUAGAAGAUGGGUCUGCGUCUGAUUAGCUAGUUGGUGAGGUAAUGGCUCACCAAGGCGAUGAUCAGUAGCCGGUGUGAAGGAAGGAAAGGCCACGCUGGGACUGAGAAACGGCCCAGACUCCUACGAGAGGCAGCAGUGGGGAAUCUUCCGCAAUGGACGAAAGUCUGACGGAGCAACGCCGCGUGAGUGAAGAAGGUUUUCGGGUCGUAAAGCUCUGUCUUUGAGGACGAAUGUGUCUAAUGUGAAUAAUGUUAGAUAAUGACGGUACUCGAGGAGGAAGCCACGGCUAACUACGUGCCAGCAGCCGCGGUAA
rnacentral:rRNA from 1 species